AUAUAAAGUGGCGCACGGGUGAGUAACACGUGACUAACCUACCCUUGAGUGGGGGAUAACCUCGGGAAACCGGGGCUAAUACCGCAUAAUAUCGAGAGAUCAAAGGAGCAAUUCGCUUAAGGAGGGGGUCGCGGCUGAUUAGCUAGUUGGUGAGGUAAUGGCUCACCAAGGCUAUGAUCAGUAUCCGGCCUGAGAGGGCGCACGGACACACUGGAACUGAAACACGGUCCAG
rnacentral:rRNA from 1 species